AUAUGCAUGUGUGCUCGCAUGCAUGUGUUUGUAUUUUUGUCUGAUGAUUUGAAGGUUUAUAGUCUGUUUUUAAUUUUUCUAGUGGUUGCCUUUAUAUUGAUGUAUUUCUCUGCCAAGAGACCUUCAAAUGUAGGGAAAGAGUCAUAUUCUCACAGGCUGAGCCUUGGCACCACUGUUUGGUCUUCAGAUUCUUGAUACCCUCAACAUGAAAAAUGGUGAUGGUCUUGCCCUGAAGCCAAAGGGCCAGGGUAAUCAGGAUACUGAAUGUGUCACUGAGAUGGUUCUUGAGUGAGCAAGCCACCUACAGCGAAGGGCCCUUGGAGCCACAAAGGGGUGCUGUAUCUCAUCUCUUAUUUCAAAACCUCAUGUGAAUAUCUUUCCCUCAACACCCAGCCUCCUUUGUUCAACAGUGUCUUUUACUUGCUGUCCAUUUCUCUGCACAGUGUUCUGAAAAGGCAUAGUCGGAGAGGCCGUGAAUGGAGGGCAUUGACUCUUCUUGCUGUUUGUUUCUUCACAUAUCCAGAUCAGGAGCCAGAUUGUUGCCUGACAGCUGGUCUUUGUGAAUACAGUGGUGUGUGGUUAGCGUUCAGAUGCAAGUUUGUGUGUGUGUGUGUGUGUGUGUGUGUGUGUGUGUGUGUGUGUGUGUGUGUGUGUGUUUUCUUUUAAACCUGAUGCUGGUUGAUUAGUCAGUGUACCAACAGAUAAUGGCAUACUCAAAAUAGAAUCAUUUUAGGAAAGCUUAUUUACAAAGGGACUGUUUACAAACCUGUGGGUGUAGGGGCACCCCAAGGGAUGGUACAAUAACCUGGAUAAGCAGCAGCAGAGCUGUUACCACCAAUAGGCCUGAAGGGAAAAGGGGAAGGGAGGGUCACUAGAAGGAGGAGAACUGAGUGGGAUGGCUGCCUCAGGAGGACCAGUGGCCUCCUUUGGAGGAUACAUUCAACCCAUGGAGACACACAGGCAGGAGACCAAAGGACUAAAUGCUUUCAUCUCUCUCUGUUCCCUCUCCUUUCCCUACUGGGGCUCCCCAUGGCUGAACCCUACUAGAAGCUUGUAAAAGCAUUAGUGAUAAAUAGAGCAAGAAGUCAUCAGGUACAUUGCCCUCGUGUGUUUUUGGAAAAUAUGCGGAGAGCUGACUCAUCAGAGGUAACCCAUUAGGAAUGCUUUCAAUUACUAGUCAUAGAGGAUCCAGCCCAGUUUACUUCUGUACUGUAACCAGAAGGCUGGAAGUAGGAAGCCACUGACAUUCAAUAAUGUCAGUGCUGGUGUCUCUAGAAUCCUCUCAGCCUUUCCUUUGAGCUGCUUGCUUCAUGUCUGCAACAUGGCUGCCCAGCUCCAGGCAUCACGACCAUGGUUAAGUUAGGAAGAAGGGGAAAAAGGAGUACCAGCAUGUAUGCCCAUUUUCUUAAAAAAAUGUAUUUUCAUAGAAGUGCCCUCAGCAGACUUUUCAUCAUAUUUCAUUGGUCAGAACUGGAUCUCCUAUAGCAGCAAGGGAGACUGGGAAAGUGGGAAAUAGACUGGUCGUGAUUGAUUUAGACCACUUGCAAUUGAUUGCCUGAGACUGGAGACUUUGGUGCAUGGAUCAAAAUCAGGAAUCUGUUACCAAGAAAGAAGGGAUGGAAUAAAUUCUGGAUCAACAAUGAACAAGGCUUGCCACAAGUGGUUUGUAUGCAACAAUAAGGCCAGUUGUCUGCUAGCACUCACUCAGGACAGCCACUGCUCUUUUAUACUACGUGCCACUGAUUUUAUGUGACAUCCAGAAGUGUUGUUUGAUCAAGUAAUUUUUCCAGGAGCUUGCUCUGCUUUCCACGGUAGCCUCUGACUCAAUUUACAAGUUACAGCUAGAACUAGUUUUCACUGUAAGUUGGGUAGUUUUAAUGAUGCUUCUCUGGGUUUGAUCUUUUCUCUGCCUUUUGUGACAAAUGUAUCUUGAGCACACUGGACAUUAUUAUUUUGCCCAUGUUAUGGAAAGAUGUGAUCAGGUUUCUAACAAGCUUACAGGACCUGAUGUGAGAUGAUGCAAAAGUCUCAGUGGGCUUCCUGCCAGUAUUUGACAAAGUUUCAUAAGAGAUGAUGCCUCUGGGACUAGAGGAAAUGAUUACCAACUAACAAAAUUCCAUUUUUAGAUAUUCCUUCCCAUAUCUGUCUUUCUGAGUCACACUUUUUUUUUCUCCUUGUGUAAAAUUAUCUCAUUCUACAUACUUAUUUACCCUGGGCAUAUGUGAUCACGUUGUAUAUUGCAGUGUUUUUGUUAAUAUUUUCAAUACCACUUUUACACUUUAAUGAACCUCUUUUGAACUACUGAUUCAUCUUUAUGAUUUGGAGCCAUACUAGAAUACUACAGGAACAAUAAAAUGGAACUAUGACACACAUAAACAAUCACAAGAAAAGGAUGUGAAAAUCUUUUAGCAAGUUGAACGACAGUCAGUGGCAUUCUCUUUACUAUGAGCUGAGCUGAACUGGCCUGACUCACUCUUGGUGGCAGAGGUGCACCUACCAGACCAGGAUGAAGACUGCAGAGGCAAUGGGAUUUCUGUGGAAAUGAUUACUGACCUCACACUUAUGAAAUGUACAUGAACAAAACUGCUUGUUUGUGUAGCAUGCCUUGCUCACGUCCCCUCCGACUCACAGUUCUCACAUGUGCUGAUGGCUUCUCACUGCAAACACAUGCGACUCCCAGCCUGGGGCAGUUCUUUGGCCACAGGACCAUGUUCACCUGGCACACAGUGUAAACUGGGAGGGCCAGGGAGCUGAUGACCGGAUGCAGCCCUUAACCUGCAGUGGGCCGGGGCGGGGCACUCUGAGGCAUGUUCCGCACAGCAUCCCAGAGGUCUCAGGAGGACUGAGGCCCAGUCUCCCAGAGUGGCAAAUACUCAUCAACACACCCUUCCCCUCCUUCCCUUCUCUCUACUAGUACUUCCUGGGGUCACUUCCCAAGUGAAACAUUUGCAUUCAGAUCUUUGUCUCAGGGUCCACUUCUGUGAGAGAUGAACUCUGAAAUAUCCCAUGAGAUUCAUGAACGCCACUUUAGGGAAAACUGCUCUAGACAACUCUGGUCAUUUUACAGAUGAGAAGACUGAGGCUCAGAGUAGGGGACCUGAUAUGCCCAGGGCCACUUUGUGGUCAGAGGCAGCCCAGUUGGCCCUGGAGUUCCCUGUGACGCUCUCAGCACAGGCAGGGGUCCUGAUUCUCGUGGGAGCUGUACUGGAGGGUCUGACCAGGACUCUCUCACCAAGGCAUGGCAUUCAGGGGCCUCGACCCUUCUUAGACUUACCUGGAAGACCCUCUGUGAGAGGAGAGGAGCCUGCUCACAUAAACUGGGGCAGAAGAGAAGUAAGAGAAGCGGCAGCUGAGGCUGGUUGGGACUGCGGCCAGUUGAGGGGCUGGGUCCGACCUCUAUGCAUCCUCAUUCCCCUGAGCCCAUCCCCGCUUGUUCUCCAGCCCUUGUGUCCUCCCACUCCCUGCUCCCACCACUGAAAUGAAAGCUUUUCGGGGUCUUUCCUGGAUAACCCCUCCCAACAUCCCGUAUAAACACACACUUGCUUCUUUCUGGGAUUAGACUCCAGCUCUGUGGAUCUCAAAGACACUGUGAGAUGGAUUCAUGUCCUAUAGAAGAAGGGAGAUUUCUCUCUGCUUUACCUUUUCCUUUUUCUUAUGAGAGAAGCUUGUGACCCUGUGAUCCAUUUCCAGAAGAAAUUGCCUUCUAGUCCAGCUUUCUAAAUAAUAUGGCGAUCUGUUCCAAAUGUUCUACCCACAGACCUUUCCUUAUUCCCAUUUGACAGACUGGGACACCUAAGACCCAGGCAGAAGUUGUAUCAUGAGCCCAUGAUCUGACUCCCAGACAGUGAUCUGGCCAUCCUAUCUUCAGAGCAGGCCUGUGAGGGAGUUUAAGCUAUAAAUUUACCCUCGAGGUCACCCACAACCCCAGGAUGAGUAGAACCUGCUGAGGUGGUGGUCCUGCUGGAAAACCAUCUGCCCAGCUCCCUCACCUCAGUUUCUGUGGGACCAAAAGUGAUACCAUCCUGUGGAACUGGAGCACCACAUCCAGGGCCAGCUCCUGCAAGAGGAAAUUCACUUCUAUACUGUUUACUGAGCUCUGCGGCAGACAGGGCCCUAGGGUCACUGGGAGCGAUGAAGGGGAGGGACCUUAAUGAAUCCAGUGAAACCUUGCCCUCCCACAUGGAGCUUAUAGAUAGGGAGUGAGAUAGUCCACUUACUAGAAGCUAGAGUCUACUAAGGGCCACAGUAAUAAUAGUUGUGAUGGGUUAAAAAUAUAGUUGCAAAUCCUUUCACAUUCUUCUUAUCAAAACAGGGAAUCUAAUUCCUCUCCCCUUGACUAUAGGCCAGCCUUAGAGACUUACAAUGAGCAAAAUGUAGGAGAAGUGAUGCUGUGUAAUUUCCAAGGUAAGCUGGGAAAGGUGAUAUAGCUACUGCCUGGAGUUUUCUUGGAACACUCACCCUGGAAACCCAGCCACCAUACUGGGAGAAGCCCAGGUUACAAGAAGCCACAGGUAAAUGUGCUGAUCAAUAGUCCCAGCCUGGGGGGAGGGGGUAUAGCUCAGUGGUAGAGCACAUGCUUAGCAUGCACAGGGUCCUGGGUUCAAUCCCCAGUACCUCCACUAAAAGUACAAAUUAAAAAAAAAAAAAAUAGCCCAGCUAAGUUCUCAGUUGACAGCCAGCAUUAAAAGUCAGAAGUAUGAGUGAGCAAGGUUUCAAGGUUUCAGAUGAUUGCAGUCCCCAGCCUUCGUGCCUCUCUGAUUGUGAGCUAGCUUUACUAAGUUCUGCCCAUAUCAUAGAUUCAUUAGCAAAAUGAAGGUUGUGUAUUAAACCAUUAAAAUUUGGAGGUGGUUUGAGAUGCAGCGAUAGAUAACUGGAACCAUAUUAAAGUGUAUUGUGUAUUUACUAGAAGCCAAACAUUGUACUAAACACCUUACAGGGCUAUAGUCACACUUAAUCCUCCAGACAUUCCUACUAGGCAGAGACUAUCUCCACCUUACGGAGAACUGAAGCUGAGAGUGAUUGAGUGACUUGUCUGAGUCAUAGAGCUUGUAGGUGGCAAGAAACGGGGCUGGAGGCAGUUGCAGUAUGUUGGUAAACAUUUAACAACCAGUUCUCCUCUGGGAAAAAAAAAAAGUCAUGAUUUGCAGUGUUCGCCAACUUGCAUGGUGUAAAUUUUCCCACCAUGGCUGAUUUCAACCCACUGGGAAGAGAUGUGCUCUCCAGGCAGUUUGUGCCGGCUCCAGGGCACUGCUGGGUGGAGACUGCCUACCCCAGGAAGCAGGUUCUUAGGAGAUGAUGGAGACAGUGUGUGUAGUGAGGGAUGAUCAGGAGAGUCUUUCUUGAAAGAUAGGUUGAGCUGCAGAACAGUCAUUUCGGGCAUUCAUUCGUGCUGUUUGCCAAACUAUGUACAAAACACUGUUCUGGUCUCUGAUCACUAAUGACAAAUAACACAGACAAGGGCUCUGCUCUCAUGGAAUCUUCUUUUUAGCAUGACAGAAACAGAGAGACUCAAAGGCUUAGGACAUAUUGAGAAGUUUGAGUUAUUCUGGGAGUGAGAGAUGGAGAGGGAAGUGGGGCCCAGACUUAACAUGUCAUAGUCAGUCCCCAGGAGGGGAGAUGGGCUGGUGACUCCCUUCCCUCUCUGGUCCUUCCCUUUGGGGGAACUUUGAGUCAGAAAAGUCUCAGGUCUGUUAGACUGGGAGUGGCCCCUCUGAGCCCAAGGAAGGAGCCCCAGGAAGGAGGGCACAUGAGUUACCUAAUGCUGCCUCCACCAGCCUCCCUCCCACUCCCCUCCCUCCAUCUCUAGGUAAAAAGCUUCCUCAAAUUGGUCUGAGGCUCCUGAGAGGCUGGUUCCACUGGGAUGCUUAACUAGAUCCCCAUCCUCAUGAUCAGCAACAAAGAUAAGAAUCAGUGCACAAUCCUGAAAUAAUUUCCACUUGGAGCUGAUUCUUAACUGAAAAAAAAAGAGAAAAGUUUCUAAUCCAAAGGAUUCUUUGCUCUGCGGAGAAGAAAUACCGUGUCCAAGGCACAGCUUCAUCAGAAAGAAAACUAUGAGGAUCAGUCUCUUCCAAGAGGACACCAUCCAAGUUUGUGUGAUUUCAUCCAAGAAAGGGUUCUUCACUUCACUCCAGUCGCCAACAGUGGAUGAGUACUCCUUUUGGAUCAGUAUGUUGGUUUCACAUGGCAUUUCUACUCUGUGGGAGUAGUGAAGCAUCUUUUCCCUUGGACCUUCUCCUGGGGUCAGAAGACGAGGCAGGAGACGAGCGUGGGACUCAGCCCAGCCAGGCGGCCCCGCCGCCAACACCCACGGCUCCUCUCGCUCCUCUGGCUCCCCUGUUUUCGACGCUUUCCUUCCUCCCCCACAAGCUUCAGAUUCCUGGAACCAGGCUCGGUGACCUCACGCCGGUGACUUCACAUCCGGAACCUUCUGGGAAUUCUCAGCAGCACUUUUUCGAAACUGCAUAAGGUUGAGAGGUCAGAAAAGGACACUCUCUAUGGCUUUUGCUUCCUUGAAGAGGUUGCCUCAGAGCUGAGUCUUCAACACCAAGCUUUCCAAAAAUGACAAGGGGGUUAAAAGGGGAGCUGCAUUAUGACUUUUGUAAGCCCUAGGCCCUUUGGCCUACAUGGGCUUCUUCCUCCAUAAAAAAAUAUUUUAAAAUAUCUUACAACUGUGAUGGUAUAAAGAGGAAUAUGUUCAUGUUAUAAAUUAAAGCAUUUUCUUCUGCCUAAAA